rnacentral:rRNA from 1 species
AGAUUGAACGCUGGCGGCAUGCUUUACACAUGCAAGUCGAAACGGUAACAGGCCGCAAGGUGCUGACGAGUGGCGAACGGGUGAGUAAUGCAUCGGAACGUGCCCAGUCGUGGGGGAUAACGCAGCGAAAGCUGUGCUAAUACCGCAUACGAUCUAUGGAUGAAAGCGGGGGACCGAAAGGCCUCGCGCGAUUGGAGCGGCCGAUGUCAGAUUAGCUAGUUGGUGGGUAAAGGCCCACCAAGGCGACGAUCUGUAGCUGGUCUGAGAGGACGACCAGCCACACUGGAACUGAGACACGGUCCAGACUCCUACGGGAGGCAGCAGUGGGGAAUUUUGGACAAGUGGGCGCAAGCUGAUCCAGCCAAGUGACCGCGUGUCCGAAGGAAGAACGGUCCGUUACGGGUUGUAAACGU